rnacentral:misc_RNA from 1 species
UAGGGAGACCUAAUCCAUUUAGAAAUCGAAAACAAUGAAAAUUGUCAAUAGAAACUAAAUUGGUCUAACCUAGGUCGUUCGAGAUUGGUAGACAUCUUUCAAAGUAUUAUUCGGCUUUGUUCAAAACCAUAUAUAAUAAAUGGAAAAAGACAGCACCUAAUUGUCAAAGUUAGACUGCUGGAUGAAAUUCCAGCCAGAACCUUGAAAACUGCAUAAGAGAACAAGAAAAAGCAGGCAGACACAGACAUUUAGAUGGAUGUGGAAGCAAAAGAAAUUGU